rnacentral:rRNA from 1 species
UCCUACGGGAGGCAGCAGUGAGGAAUAUUGGUCAAUGGCCGAGAGGCUGAACCAGCCAAGUCGCGUGAGGGAAGACGGCCCUACGGGUUGUAAACCUCUUUUGUCAAGGGACAAAAUCAGGCUCGAGAGCCUGACCGAGGGUACUUGAAGAAAAAGCAUCGGCUAACUCCGUGCCAGCAGCCGCGGUAAUACGGAGGAUGCGAGCGUUAUCCGGAUUUAUUGGGUUUAAAGGGUGCGUAGGCGGACUGUUAAGUCAGCGGUAAAAGCCCGGGGCUCAACCCCGGCGAGCCGUUGAAACUGGCUGG